AUUAAGGUGGCAGAGCAGGUAAUUGCAUAAAACUUAAGCCUUUACAACCAGAGGUUCAAACCCUCUCCUUAAUA
ensembl:Mt_tRNA